rnacentral:rRNA from 1 species
GUGUCAGCAGCCGCGGUAAAACGUAGGAGGCGAGCGUUAUCCGGAUUUACUGGGCGUAAAGCGUACGCAGGCGGCUUCGUGAGUCGGAUGUGAAAGCUCCUGGCUUAACUGGGAGAGGCCAUUCGGAACUGCGGGGCUUGAGGUUGGGAGAGGGGUGCGGAAUUCCCGGUGUAGUGGUGGAAUGCGUAGAGAUCGGGAGGAACACCUGUGGCGAAAGCGGCACCCUGGCCCACACCUGACGCUGAGGUACGAAAGCGUGGGUAGCAAACAGGAUUAGAUACCCUGGUAGUCCACGCCGUAAACGAUGUCAACUGGGUGUUGGUGGUGUUACACCAUCAGUGCCGAAGCAAACGCGUUAAGUUGACCGCCUGGGGAGUACGGCCGCAAGGCUAAA